UAUUAGCAGCCCUUCUCUGCUUUCUCUUCCCAUUUCGCCCAAAUGCAGGUCCUUAAAAUGUGAUCCUUCCACUUUAUUGGCCCAAUUCUCCUUUCUCUAAUUUAUAUUUUACGUAUCACAGAAAUGGGAAAUUUGUUAAUUCUGUCCGCUCAUCCCUCCCUCAACUGUGGCUGAAGUUUGUACAAUAUAACUCAGCUCUUAAAUUAAUUUGCUUGUCUUACAUUCUCUUUACCUCCUGCCUCACAGAUCUUUUUCAUUCAAAAGGACACAAAGUGCUCGUCACUCAGCAGGGCAGGCAUCAUCUCUGGAGAACAUGGAUAGGUGUCGUUUUGGGUCAGGACCCUUCUUCAGACAGUCAUCUUUUUCAUUCAUCUAACUAUCUGUGAAAACAAAUUUAAUUCGGUCAUCUAUUCCCCUUCAAAGCACAAGGCUAUUAACUUUUUGAAAGUGACGGGGCAAAUCGGCAAAGCAGUUUCUCUCCAAAAGCCAACAGCAUGUGAUCUCUCGACAUUAUAGCAAGGUACAAAAGCAGGGGAAUUGUACAGGUUGGGUCUAAUUAGAAUAUUCUCAGUUUUGGUCAAAACUGGAACUCAAAACCAUAAAUGUACUUUCAGUCUAAGAUCUCUUCAAACUAUGUUCCUCAGUUAUACCAGUUUAGGCAGUGCCUUGUUUCACUUCAGUGUGCAGCCACUUCUCUUAAAACUCUAGGUUUCUCGUCUGAAAAUGUAUGCCAUGUUUCUUAUCAGUCAAUCAGAAGGUUCCAACAGUGAAUCCAUACAAAAGAGAUGUCUGGUUUGGUUUGGAGAUACAGCGUGGAAAGAGGACCUUCGGCCCACCGAGUCCGCGCCGACCAGCGAUCCCCGCACACUAAUACUAUUCUACACACCAAGGACAGAUUACAAUUUUUUUACAAUAAGUACUGAUCCCUGCCCUCCAUGCCAGUCACUGCAUUAUUUAAUCUUUUUUUUUUUUAAGUUUCUGCCUGCAUCUGUUUUAAAAGUUUACGCAGUUGCUCAAAAGGGUUCACAUUUAAUGAAUGUCAAGGCAGUGAAUGUUAAAUGGGUAAAUAUGGCAAUUAUUUUGUAUGCCAAGAUCUGCCAAAAUGCAAAGAGAUGCUUGGUGUUCAUUUUUGUCCAGGCAAACUGAUCUUACCAAGGAGGAUGUUUCCUGUGUUGCAAUCAAAGCCACACUGCAAUAGUUAUCAAGAGACAAGAGUGUUCAGUUGUCGUGUGUACCGACAAUGGAACAAUGAUAUUCGUUCUUGCCGCUGCUUAACAGGCUAAUUUAUGCAAUAAUACAGAUAAUGUACAAUAAUCAAGAAUACAAUAAAUUAAUGACCAUAA